CGGGCGCAUAGCUCAGUUGGUAGAGCAGCUGACUCUUAAUCAGCGGGUCCCAGGUUCGAGCCCUGGUGCGCCAACCA
rnacentral:tRNA from 1 species